UGGGGAAUUCUGGACAAUGGGCGCAAGCCUGAUCCAGCCAUUCCGCGUGCAGGACGAAGGCCUUCGGGUUGUAAACUGCUUUUGUACGGAACGAAAAGCCCUUCUCUAAUACAGAGGGGUCAUGACGGUACCGUAAGAAUAAGCACCGGCUAACUACGUGCCAGCAGCCGCGGUAAUACGUAGGGUGCAAGCGUUAAUCGGAAUUACUGGGCGUAAAGCGUGCGCAGGCGGUUAUGUAAGACAGAUGUGAAAUCCCCGGGCUCAACCUGGGAACUGCAUUAGUGACUGCAUAGCUGGAGUACGGCAGAGGGGGAUGGAAUUCAGCGUGUAGCAGUGAAAUGCGUAGAUAUGCGGAGGAACACCGAUGGCGAAGGCAAUCCCCUGGGCCUGCACUGACGCUCAUGCACGAAAGAGUGGGGAGCAAACA
rnacentral:rRNA from 1 species